AAUCCAUAGGUUAAUGAGGCGAACCGGGGGAACUGAAACAUCUAAGUACCCCGAGGAAAAGAAAUCAACCGAGAUUCCCCCAGUAGCGGCGAGCGAACGGGGAGGAGCCCAGAGCCUGAAUCAGCAUGUGUGUUAGUGGAAGCGUCUGGAAAGGCGCGCGAUACAGGGUGACAGCCCCGUACACAAAAGCGCAUGUGCUGUGAGCUCGAUGAGUAGGGCGGGACACGUGGUAUCCUGUCUGAAUAUGGGGGGACCAUCCUCCAAGGCUAAAUACUCCUGACUGACCGAUAGUGAACCAGUACCGUGAGGGAAAGGCGAAAAGAACCCCGGCGAGGGGAGUGAAAAAGAACCUGAAACCGUGUACGUACAAGCAGUGGGAGCACCCUUUGGGUGUGACUGCGUACCUUUUGUAUAAUGGGUCAGCGACUUAUAUUCUGUAGCAAGGUUAACCGAAUAGGGGAGCCGGAGGGAAACCGAGUCUUAACCGGGCGUUAAGUUGCAGGGUAUAGACCCGAAACCCGGUGAUCUAGCCAUGGGCAGGUUGAAGGUUGGGUAACACUAACUGGAGGACCGAACCGACUAAUGUUGAAAAAUUAGCGGAUGACCUGUGGCUGGGGGUGAAAGGCCAAUCAAACCGGGAGAUAGCUGGUUCUCCCCGAAAGCUAUUUAGGUAGCGCCUCGUGAAUUCAUCUCCGGGGGUAGAGCACUGUUUCGGCUAGGGGGCCAUCCCGGCUUACCAACCCGAUGCAAACUGCGAAUACCGGAGAAUGUUAUCACGGGAGACACACGGCGGGUGCUAACGUCCGUCGUGAAGAGGGAAACAACCCAGACCGCCAGCUAAGGUCCCAAAGUCAUGGUUAAGUGGGAAACGAUGUGGGAAGGCCCAGACAGCCAGGAUGUUGGCUUAGAAGCAGCCAUCAUUUAAAGAAAGCGUAAUAGCUCACUGGUCGAGUCGGCCUGCGCGGAAGAUGUAACGGGGCUAAACCAUGCACCGAAGCUGCGGCAGCGACACUGUGUGUUGUUGGGUAGGGGAGCGUUCUGUAAGCCUGUGAAGGUGUGUC
rnacentral:rRNA from 2 species